rnacentral:rRNA from 1 species
GACGAACGCUGGCGGCGUGCCUAAUACAUGCAAGUAGAACGCUGAAGGAGGAGCUUGCUUCUCUGGAUGAGUUGCGAACGGGUGAGUAACGCGUAGGUAACCUGCCUGGUAGCGGGGGAUAACUAUUGGAAACGAUAGCUAAUACCGCAUAAGAGUAGAUGUUGCAUGACAUUUGCUUAAAAGGUGCAAUUGCAUCACUACCAGAUGGACCUGCGUUGUAUUAACUAGUUGGUGGGGUAACGGCUUACCAAGGCGACGAUACAUAGCCGACCUGAGAGGGGGGACGGCCACACUGGGACUGAGAAACGGCCCAGACUCCUACGGGAGGCAGCAGUAGGGAAUCUUCGGCAAUGGACGGAAGUCUGGACGAGCAACGCCGCGUGAGUGAAGAAGGUUUUCGGGUCGUAAAGCUCUGUUGUAAGAGAAGAAAGAGUGGGAGAGUGGAAAGUGCACACUGUGACGGUAUCUUACCAGAAAGGGACGGCUAACUACGUG